CGGGGCGUAGCGCAGCCUGGUAGCGCACUCGCUUGGGGUGUGAGAGGUCGAAGGUUCAAAUCCUUUCGCCCCGACCA
rnacentral:tRNA from 1 species